GCCCGGAGAUAGCUGGUUCUCCCCGAAAUAGCUUUAGGGCUAGCCUCAAGGUGAGAGAUACGGAGGUAGAGCACUGAAUGUCCUAGGGGGUAUUGCACCUACCGAAGACUAUCAAACUCCGAAUGCCGUCAUCUUAUACUUGGGAGUCAGACUGUGGGUGAUAAGAUUCAUAGUCGAAAGGGCAACAGCCCAGAUCGUCAGCUAAGGUCCCUAAAUGUAAGUUAAGUGGUAAAGGAUGUGGGAUUGCACAGACAACCAGGAUGUUGGCUUAGAAGCAGCCACUCAUUCAAAGAGUGCGUAAUAGCUCACUGGUCGAGUGAUCCUGCGCCGAAGAUUUCCGGGGCUAAAACUUACUACCGAAGCUACGGCAUCAUUAUGAUGGGUAGGGGAGCUUCCCAUACGGGUUGAAGCAUGACCGUAAGGACAUGUGGACAGUAUGGGAGUGAGAAUGUUGGCAUGAGUAGCGAGAUGUGGGUGAGAAUCCCACAGGCCGUAAACCCAAGGUUUCCAGGGGAAGGUUCGUCCGCCCUGGGUUAGUCGGGACCUAAGCUGAGGCCGAAAGGCGUAGGUGAUGGACAACAGGUUGAUAUUCCUGUACUACCGAUAACCGUUUGAGAGAAGGGAUGACACAGUAGGAUAAGCUAAGCACACUGUUGGUUAUGUGUGCCCAAGCAUUGAGGCAGUCAAAGCAGGCAAAUCCGCUUUGAUAAUGCUGGGAUGUGAUGGGGAGCGAAAUUUAGUAGCGAAGUAGCUGAUUUCACACUGUCAAGAAAAGUCUCUAUCGAGGUUAAAGGUACCCGUACCGCAAACCGACACAGGUGGGUGAGGAGAGUAUCCUAAGGCCAGCGAGAGAACUGUUGUUAAGGAACUCGGCAAAAUGACCCCGUAACUUAGGGAUAAGGGGUGCCACCAUCCGGUGGCCGCAGAGAAUAGGCCCAAGCGACUGUUUACCAAAAACAUAGGUUUCUGCUAAGUCGCAAGACGAUGUAUAGGAGCUGACGCCUGCCCGGUGCUGGAAGGUUAAGGGGAUCUGUUAGAGCAA
rnacentral:rRNA from 1 species